GCCGAAGUGGUGAAACAGGUAGACGCGCUGCGUUCAGGGCGCAGUUCCCGUUAGGGAGUGUGGGUUCGAAUCCCACCUUCGGCA
rnacentral:tRNA from 1 species